UUACCCACAACGGACUGAAAGUACUAUAAUAAAACCCAAUAAGAACACAAAAUUAAUUCCACCUAUAUUUUUGGGCAAACAAUAUAAAAAUUAAAUUUUUUGAAAGUUCCUUUUUCUGUGAAGCAAAGCACUAAAAAAAAACACUACCUCAAGAUGUGUGGCGGAGGAUGCGGCGGAUGCAGUUACGGCUGGGGUCCCUGGGCUGCGUGUGGUCCGUGUGGUGGUGCUUGCGGGCCGUGCGGCCCCUGGGGCAGCUGUGCGCCAUGUGGCGGUGGACCAUGUGGCUGCGGGCCGAGAGGUUGUGGUCCCUCCGGUCCGGCCUGUUGGCCCUUCGGAUUAUAUACGUGCUAGGCUUUGGAAAGAAAUUCAGGAGCGCUCGCCAUGCCCGACACCUUCCGAACCCCUACAGCGGAAUUCCAGCCAGUGUCGUGUCUUGGAUAACAGGUUGAGCUUGGUUGUCUAUAUAUGCAGCACAGCAACCGUCAACCAUCGAGAUGCAACUUACAACAGACAAGCAGAGAUCUGUAAUUAUGGCGUCAUAUUCUAAACAAUAAAAUUUUACUGUCUUCAU